UAGCGGGGGGGUCCCGGGGGGGGGUCCCGGCUCCGGUCCGGGGUUACCGGGAGGGUCCCGGGAGGGUCCCGGCUCCGGUCCGGGCCCGUUCA